AUCCAUCUGACAAGUCCUAAAUAAGGUGAAACACAUGUCCUGGAU
rnacentral:hammerhead_ribozyme from 1 species